AUGUAAUGUAAUUCCUACAGUGUUGAUGCACCAAAUCCCAUUAGAACUCCAUAGUUAAGCACACUUGGGCUAGUGUAGUAUUGGGAUGGGUGACCUUUCAGGAAUUCAUAGUGUUUUACAUG
rnacentral:rRNA from 1 species